rnacentral:rRNA from 1 species
GACGAACGCUGGCGGCGUGCCUAAUACAUGCAAGUCGAACGCUUCUUUCCUCCCUAUUUCUUGCACUCAAUUGGAAAGCGGAUUAGCAAACCGGUGAUUAACACGUGUUUAACCUACCCUUCAGUGGGGAAUAACACUUUAAAACAGGUUCUAAUACCGCAUAGCAUUUUAUGCCGCAUGGCAUAAGAGUGAAUGGCGCUGUCCGCGGUCGCUAUUAGAUUGUCCCGCGGUGAAUUAGCUAGUUGGGGAGGUAACGGCUCACCAAGGCCACGAUGGAUCGCCGACCUGAGAGGGUGAUCGGCCACACUGGGACUGAGACACGGCCAAGACGCCUAAGGGAGGCAGCAGUAGGGAAUCGGCGGCAAUGGACGAAAGUCUGACAGAGCAACGGCGCGUGAGUGAAGAAGGUUUUGGGAUCGUAAAGCUGUGUUGUUGGAGAAGAACAAGGACGGUAGUAAAUGAAGCUCCAGUGACGGUAAUUAAUAAGAAAGCCACGGCUAACUACGUG